UACGUAGGUGGCAAGCGUUGUCCGGAAUCAUUGGGCGUAAAGAGCGCGUAGGUGGCUUGUCAGGUCCGAUGUGAAAACCUGGGGCUCAACUCCAGGCCUGCAUCGGAAACCGGCUUGCUAGAGUCUGGGAGAGGAGAGUGGAAUUCCUGGUGUAGCGGUGAAAUGCGUAGAUAUCAGGAGGAACACCGGUAGUGAAGGCGGCUCUCUGGAACAGUACUGACGCUGAGGCGCGAAAGCUAGGGGAGCGAACAGGAUUAGA
rnacentral:rRNA from 1 species